rnacentral:RNase_P_RNA from 1 species
GAAACAGGCCGCCUUAUCGCUCCGGAUUUACUCCGGGGAGGAAAGUCCGGACAACACAGAGCACCGUGCUCCGUGAAAACGGAGGAGGUUCCGGUUAAACCGGAAUUGCCAGAUAGUGCCACAGAAAACAAACCGCCCCGGGCUCGUUUCGGGGUAAGGGUGAAAAGGUGGGGUAAGAGCCCACCGUUUGUUCGGGUAACCGGGCAAGCAAGGUAAACCUCGCGGGUUGAAAUGCCAUGUAUACCGGGGCUUAAGGGUUGCUCGCCCGAUCCCGGAGGGUAGGCAGAAUAGAUAAAUGAUAAGGCCCUGAACUUGUUUUGGGGACAGAAUCCGGCUUACAGGCCUGUUUUUUUU